GAUGAACGCUGGCGGCGUGCCUAAUACAUGCAAGUCGAGCGAACAGACGAGGCGCUUGCUCCUCUGACGUUAGCGGCGGACGGGUGAGUAACACGUGGAUAACCUCCCUAUCAGACUGGGAUCACUUCGGGACACCGGAGCUAAUACCGUAUAAUAUAUUGAACCGCAUGGUUCAAUAGUGAAAGACGGUUUUGCUGUCACUUAUAGAUGGAUCCGCGCCGCAUUAGCUAGUUGGUAAGGUAACGGCCUACCAAGGCAACGAUGCGUAGCCGACCUGAGAGGGUGAUCGGCCACACUGGAACUGAGACGCGGUCCAGACUCCUACGGGAGGCAGCAGUAGGGAAUGGUCCGCAAAGGGCGAAAGCCUGACGGAGCAACGCCGCGUGAGUGAUGAAGGUCUUCGGAUCGUAAAGCUCUGUUAUUAGGGAAGAACAAAUGUGUAAGUAACUAUGCACGUCUUGACGGUACCUAAUCAGAAAGCCACGGCUAACUACGUG
rnacentral:rRNA from 1 species